rnacentral:rRNA from 1 species
UACGGGGGGGGCAAGCGUUGUUCGGAAUUACUGGGCGUAAAGGGUUCGUAGGUGGCUUGCUAAGUCAGACGUGAAAUCCCUCAGCUUAACUGGGGAACUGCGUCUGAUACUGGCGAGCUUGAGCGCAGGAGAGGAACGCGGAAUUCCAGGUGUAGCGGUGAAAUGCGUAGAUAUCUGGAGGAACACCGGUGGCGAAGGCGGCGUUCUGGACUGCAACUGACACUGAUGAACGAAAGCCAGGGGAGCAAACGGG